GUAGGUGGCAAGCGUUAUCCGGAAUUAUUGGGCGUAAAGCGCGCGUAGGCGGUUUUUUAAGUCUGAUGUGAAACGCCCACGGCUCAACCGUGGAGGGUCAUUGGAAACUGGAAAACUUGAGUGCAGAAGAGGAAAGUGGAAUUCCAUGUGUAGCGGUGAAAUGCGCAGAGAUAUGGAGGAACACCAGUGGCGAAGGCGACUUUCUGGUCUGUAACUGACGCUGAUGUGCGAAAGCGUGGGGGGGUAUCAAACCAGGAUUAGAUACCCUGGUAGUCCACGCCGUAAACCGAUGAGUGCUAAGUGUUAGGGGGUUUUCCGCCCCCCCCCUUAGUGCUGCAGCUAACGCAUUAAGCACUCCGCCUGGGAGUACGACCGCAAGGUUG
rnacentral:rRNA from 1 species